rnacentral:rRNA from 1 species
AGAUUGAACGCUGGCGGCAUGCUUUACACAUGCAAGUCGAGCGGCAGCGCGGGGGCAACCCUGGCGGCGAGCGGCGAACGGGUGAGUAAUACAUCGGAACGUAUCCCGUAGAGGGGGAUAGCCCGGCGAAAGCCGGAUUAAUACCGCAUAUGCUCUACGGAGGAAAGUGGGGGACUCGCAAGGGCCUCACGCUAUGGGAGCGGCCGAUGGCCGAUUAGCUAGUUGGUGGGUAAAGGCCUACCAAGGCGACGAUCGGUAGC